UAUAUAGUGGCUAACAUCUGCAAAUCUCAAACUCCCAAUUUUAUCCACUGUCUCUUGGAAGUUUUGUUUCUGUUUACACUUUUAUAGAAGCUAGGAAGGUAACAUGGAAGGCCAAAUCAGUGUUAUGAUUUUGAAGAGAGAGAAAACUAAUCUGGGUCCAAGCUUUCCACCAGCCCUCAUUGAGAAAGAGAACUUGGGAUACCUCUGCGGAAUUUAUUAUGAAAAUGUAUUGCUUUGUUGUUUCUACUUCAAGCCAUGCAUUUUAAAAAGAGAUUUGUUUUUCUUUUAAUGAAUAAAGUCACUGUAAAGAAAACAAAGAGAAUUUUAAGAUACCUUAAAGUCAGUUCUUGAGGAUAUUUUAACAUCCAAGCAUGACUGCACUAACAUUUUCAUUCUUAAGGUUUACUCCAAAGCCUUUAUAUAUCAAAUCCACUUUUUUUUUUUAAAGAAUAUACUGAAAAAGAAUCUACAUACAACGGCCUACCAGAACCAUGUUCAUAUGGGCAAGAACACAUCCAGGAGAAAAAGGAUAAACCAAAACAAACACUAUAACUCCAUUUUUCUCCAUCCAACAGCCUAUUUUCUUAAAAAAAAUUUUUUUUUACUUAUAUGUAUGCCUUUUUUGUUUUUUCUUUAUUUGUAGACAAAUACAAUUCUCACCUCAGGUUUUACGUAAUCUGAGAACCAUACAUAUGAUUUGGUGUAUUUUUCUACCCUUGAAAAAUUGCACUGAAAUGCUGAGCUCCUGUAAUAUAACGGUCAUUGCAAAGAAUAUUUAAGAUAUCUAGAAGAGAAGAUGUUUUUAGUGUCCACAGUGGUGGAAUUAUGUUGUCUCUCUACAUAACUUCUCUGCAUUUCUAUGACAGUUUUUACAAAGUGCUUUCCACGUGCUCUGUCUCAUUUAAUCCCCCAGGACGAUCCUUUGAAUGCUGGCUCUGCCAUCACUGGUCUGACUCCCAGCAAAUUACUUACCUUCUAAUUCUUAUUUCCUCCUUUGUAACACAAAGUCCUUCAAAAUACAGCUCACUCUACUGUCACCAGGGGGUGAAACGAGAUAUUGUAUGUGAAAUAUUGAAGCCAGAAACAAUCACUCAAUGCCUAAUGUUGUUUUCAUUAGUCCCACAAACACAACUGCAGAAAAUAAUGUACAUGAGUUGGGGAUACCGGGGACAUGAAUGAUUUGGAAGUGCAUGGCUGUUUAUUUUUCCUGGUUGGGAAAUCGCCUGAGCCAGACUCCUCCAGAAAGGAAAUGUUGUUGUGGAUUCUGGGAUUGGACGAAUUCGUUUGGGUAGCCACUCUUCAGCUCAGCGGUGCGCGCUGAAGACUGGAGAGCAGCUAAUUUUCUGAUUAUUUGUCUUUUUGACAGUAUUUCUCCAACACCUACUUUGUAGCCAGCCCUAUCAUAGGAGCUAUAAAUACAGAAGGAAAAUAAGAUGGUCUUGGAUAUUACCCGCCAGCUGUGAUUAAAAAAAAAGAACAAAAAUGUACCCUUCAGAACUUCGAUAUCUUCAUGUGCAGAAAACAAUAUAUGUAUUAGAUCUGCUAACUUUUAUAGAAUCAGACCAACUGUUCCUGAAAUGGUAGGGCUCGUGUUUUGAAUGACUGUCUCCCUGUCCAUAGUCUAUAUACAUAUACAUGUUACAAUACGUACGUGUAUAAAUACAUACACACGCUGUCAAAUAACGGGCAGGAAUAACUGACUAAUGCUUCUUCUCAUUUCUUGUAGUUGUCACUUUAGUUACCGCUACUCCAGAGCCAACAAAUGAUUGUUUGAAAGCUAAAAGCAAGGGCACUGCUGUUGAUUCUACAAAAGCUUGCCCAGAAGAUGACAGUGAAGCUGCUGUUGUUAAUUCUACAAAAGCCUGUCUGAAA